rnacentral:tRNA from 1 species
GGGCCUGUAGCUCAGCUGGUUAGAGCAGAAGACUCAUAAUCUUUUGGUCGCAGGUUCAAAUCCUGCCAGGCCUA